GACGAACGCUGGCGGCGUGCUUAACACAUGCAAGUCGAACGGAAAGGCCCUGCUUUUGUGGGGUGCUCGAGUGGCGAACGGGUGAGUAACACGUGAGUAACCUGCCCUUGACUUUGGGAUAACUUCAGGAAACUGGGGCUAAUACCGGAUAGGAGCUCCUGCUGCAUGGUGGGGGUUGGAAAGUUUCGGCGGUUGGGGAUGGACUCGCGGCUUAUCAGCUUGUUGGUGGGGUAGUGGCUUACCAAGGCUUUGACGGGUAGCCGGCCUGAGAGGGUGACCGGCAACAUUGGGACUGAGAUACGGCCAAGACUCCUACGGGAGGCAGCAGUGGGGAAUAUUGCACAAGGGGCGGAAGCCUGAUGCAGCAACGCCGCGUGCGGGAUGACGGCCUUCGGGUUGUAAACCGCUUUCGCCUGUGACGAAGCGUGAGUGACGGUAAUGGGUAAAGAAGCACCGGCUAACUACGUG
rnacentral:rRNA from 1 species